CCCAAAUCUACCCAAAAUACCCG
rnacentral:siRNA from 1 species